AGAGCUAAAUGGGCGGAGCUGGAGCUCUAGCGAGGCGGGGCACCCUCGCUGGAUCUAGUGGGCGUGGCAGCAUCAAGUGCGCAGGCGCAGAUAGAGUUCGUUUAAACUUCCUGUACAGCCUGUAUCAAGUACUCCGGAGUAUUGCACGGUGCAUCAGACAAUACUUUUGCGAGGACAGGAUCUUCUGCUGUCUAUAUCACUGUUCCUACUGUAAAUACACGAGCUCUGAAAUCAUGCAGUUCAACAAAAAGAUUUUAUCAUCAUCAAGCAUGGUCUCAAGUGCAGACGAUCCCACACUUUCACUGCUGUUACUGUACAUCAACAUUUUAAAAUGUGUAAAAAUCCAGCCUCUGGACAACCUCCCCAUGGCUGCAGCACCACCUUCAUCCCCAGCAUCAGCAUCCCCGUCUUUAUUUCCCCUCGACAUUGGAACAUGUCUGUACUGAUUUUGAGGGUGCCCCUCUACAGCUAGGAGGACUUGAUUGUGGGGUAUUUAUGUUGAUCUCAAGUCCCACAACUACUCACCCAGAAAGUAACAUAUGCAGAUAACAUGAAAUUCACUCCACCUGAGUCAGAUGUCAUGGAGAUCAUCCAGACACCAGAAGUAGAUCACACAGGACUCAGCGGUGAUGGAAACGUUCAGCUGACCUGUGAGUAGCUAAAGGAGACCACUUGCUGGGAAGAUGAGCUGCAAAAGAUCUAAAGGAUGAUGCCCUGUUGGCUAUAACAAUGUUGGACUUGUUUAUAAACACCAUGUUUUAUGAGGGUGAAAGGAAUGAAGAAGAAAUGUCGACUACCUUCCCUUUUAUAUUUUAGAGAAAAGCAGGAGAUAUAUGAGACAAAUGAGUUAUUUGUGGGUUUUGUUUACACAAAAAACCCUGUCUUGUGAAUCUACUAGUGCGGAUAGACUAAUGUAAAUAUUGUUUUUUUUUUAAUUGGUUUUGUAAAAUACCAUUAAACUUGUGUGUGAACUGUAAAGUGAUUUGUUCUUGAAAUAAAUGUAUAAUAUUUAUUAUUGUAUCUUAUUAUACCAUUA